GACGAACGCUGGCGGCGGGCUUAACACAUGCAAGUCGAACGGAAAGGCCCUGCUUUUGUGGGGUGCUCGAGUGGCGAACGGGUGAGUAACACGUGAGUAACCUGCCCUUGACUUGGGGAUAACUUCAGGAAACUGGGGCUAAUACCGGAUAGGAGCUCCUGCUGCAUGGUGGGGGUUGGAAAGUUUCGGCGGUUGGGGAUGGACUCGCGGCUUAUCAGCUUGUUGGUGGGGUAGUGGCUUACCAAGGCUUUGACGGGUAGCCGGCCUGAGAGGGUGACCGGCCACAUUGGGACUGAGAUACGGCCCAGACUCCUACGGGAGGCAGCAGUGGGGAAUAUUGCACAAUGGGCGGAAGCCUGAUGCAGCAACGCCGCGUGCGGGAUGACGGCCUUCGGGUUGUAAACCGCUUUCGCCUGUGACGAAGCGUGAGUGACGGUAAUGGGUAAAGAAGCACCGGCUAACUACGUG
rnacentral:rRNA from 1 species